UUCCUGGAGGAAUAGUGGUUAGGCCACAGUGCGCUCACCGCCAUGGCCCGGGUUCGAUUCCCAGCCAGAAAA